CGGAGGGUGCAAGCGUUAUCCGGAAUCAUUGGGUUUAAAGGGUCCGCAGGCGGACUUAUAAGUCAGUGGUGAAAGCCUACAGCUUAACUGUAGAACUGCCAUUGAUACUGUAAGUCUUGAAUUCGGUCGAAGUGGGCGGAAUAUGACAUGUAGCGGUGAAAUGCUUAGAUAUGUCAUAGAACACCGAUAGCGAAGGCAGCUCACUAGGCCUGGAUUGACGCUCGUGGACGAAAGCGUGGGGAGCAAACAGGAUUAGAUACCCUGGUAGUCCACGCCGUAAACUAUCAAUACUCGUUCUCGGCGAUAUACGGUCGGGGACUAAGCGAAAGUGAUAAGUAUUGCACCUGGGGAGUACGAUCGCAAGGUUG
rnacentral:rRNA from 1 species